rnacentral:SRP_RNA from 1 species
UGCAGCCGGGGAGAUAGCGGUGCCCUGUACCUGCAAUCCGCUCCAGCAGGGGUGAUGUCCCGCCUCGGGCAUGUUAUUGUGGAGCUGCCUUUUGUAAGUGGCGUUGAAGUCUGGGUCUUGCGCAACAGAAAUUCAUGAACCGUGUCAGGGCAGGAAUGCAGCAGCACUAAGUGAAACCUUUUGUGUGCCGUAAGGUCGCCUGGGCCGAGUUAACUGCAGGAGUAACGUCUGUGAUA